CUGGGAAACAAAAUGGCGGACAUUCACAACGUUGUUGCAGGAGCAACUUUAUAUAAUUAAUACAAGAUAAUACAUAAAUGAUUGAAAUAGUAAUUAUGGAUAUUACUUAAUAAGGUACAUUUCUUAAUGUUAUUACCAAUAAUGGUUACUACAUAUUUUCCGAGAAGUAUUAUUUUUGAUUGAAAGAGCAUUGCAUAAAGUAGGUGGGGAACAGCACAUCAUUACCCCCACCUUUCAAGAAUUGUCCCAAUUCUUCAAGAAAAAAAUUACAGAUGGGCCAUACAAGGCUUUCUGGCGGGGAAGUACAGAUCUUCGCACACGCCGCAUUGAAACUGCAAAUAGACAAAAGGAUACCCUUUUUACUGAGUACCAAAAAUCAAGUCAACUGGUAACCUCAGUUCUCUACCAAUAUGUAACAUGGCUGGUGUGAACCCUGUUGAUGCUUGAACCGAAGACCGGUAUGCAAGCAUAACUAAAUCAACAUGUUCAUCCCAGUCUUUCUGAUUUGCUGCGACAUAUGGGGUUUCCACACAAGGCUGAGUGCAACUAGAUCAAUGUACUUUUGCAAUAAUUUGUUCGAAGAUUAAAUAAAAUAUUACAAAAUCUUUUUUUUUAUAUCAAUUUUCUAUUAUUCCUGUGAAAAUUUUCUUUAUUCUUGCUCAACAAGACUUUCCUGAAAAUUUCACAACAAUUUCCCUUUUUAAUCAAAUUUUCUUAUAAAUCUUUUCUUAUUUAAACAAAAAUAAUUAAUCCCACUUCUGACACCAAAAUGUUAGGAUGGAUCGAGGGCCAAACGCUAAAUAAGAAAAGCAAUAAAAGUUUACUAUAUUUAUUUUCACACUCAACCUGGUGUAAAAAUAUGUCAAUAUUUAUCUAUAUAACAACAAUAUUUAACUGUAACCAUUCAUUGAAUAAUACCUGUAUCUUAUGAGUAUUCAUGCUCAAUAUAUCUUCUUUAUCUUUA